AUUGAACGCUGGCGGCAGGCCUAACACAUGCAAGUCGAGCGAGCGGCGGACGGGUGAGUAAUGUAUGGGAAACUGCCUGAUGGAGGGGGCUAACUACUGGAAACGGUGGCUAAUACCGCAUACUAUCGGAUGCACCCCUAUGGGAUUAGCUAGUAGGUGGGGUAACGGCUCACCAAGGCGACGAUCCCUAGCUGGUCUGAGAGGAUGACCAGCCACACUGGAACUGAGACACGGCCCAGACUCCUACGGGAGGCAGCAGUGGGGAAUAUUGCACAAUGGGCGCAAGCCUGAUGCAGCCAUGCCGCGUGUAUGAAGAAGGCCUUAGGGUUGUAAAGUACUUUCAGCGGGGAGGCGUUACCCGCAGAAGAAGCACCGGCUAACUCCGUGCCAGCCGCCGCGGUAAUAC
rnacentral:rRNA from 1 species